rnacentral:piRNA from 1 species
CAGUCAACCUGUGGGAGGUGCAGG